UUUUUUUUUUUUUUUUUGGCUUUCCCUGCAUUCCACGCCUUGAAGAAUCUGCUAAUCCCAAUCGUCGAUUGCUGAAAUUCACGUUCCCAUGCUUGCAUUCCUUGCACCAAACGGAGUUUCAUUCGCUGGGAAAAUCAUAUCCGGAAUGGAAUUCCACUUCAAUGCGCUUCUAAUUUUCAGGCUUUUCUUCUUCUUCUUUAAACAAAGUUUGUCCUUUAUAUCAAUUGGACAAGGAGGCUUUGGUUCUUUGAGAGAGCUCAAAGACGAAGGAUGUCUGCCAGAAACUGAUGUAAUGCUCAUGCAUCUCUGUUGUGGUGGCCGCCAAUUCAUGAAUGCCUGGUGGAACAAUCGUCACCAGUUCAUGAAGGGAUUCUGGCGGGAAUGUUUUCCUGGACUGUAAAGUCAAUAUACAAUUUUAUAUGGCCCUCAUGAAUACAGAUGCAGUGUCAACACAUUAAUACGCCCAUAUGGUGACCUUAUACUUGCAGUUGGAAGUUCCCUUUAGCCGAGAAUGGGCCCUCCAAAUUUUAAAUAAGAUCCAGAACCAACGAAGGGACACCCAUUGAAGGCCAAACGACUGCAAAAAGUGAGAACAGACCUCCCUUACCGAGGAGAAAAGCAGAAAUAGGUGGUCGACUGAGUAUGCGUCCUCCCAACAUAACAAAUUUUAGCAAGAGAGCUGCCUUUUCUGCAAAUUAUCCAUUAUGAGGAUUUUGUUCUACAUGAUCACCCAACCAAAAGCUUCCGCCUGCAGCCAGAGAGUCUCCCAACACUCUUGCCCAUGAGGGAACCCCCAUCUCCUCUAGUGAAAUGCCAGAAGAUAGAUUUCGGAGAAGAUACUCUUGGAAGAGCACCUUCAAAUAUUCUGAUCUAGCUUAUGCUCAUCCACCUUGACCUCAAUCGGACUGCUCAACAGCUUGAUGAGCAACAUGCUUUGUCAUACUUAAGAUUCUACUGGAAAGUUGAGACCGCCCUGUCCCCAUUUUGAUGUCCCCUUUACGAGUACUUUACCUGGUUGCUUUCUACAGGGCAAGUACUUGAGUGCUACUAUAUAAGUUUAUUCUUUGGCUUUGUACCUUGUACAUUCCCUUCUGUGCAUCUUAUUUUCUCUAGCUUUAUUCUCAGUGUUUAACUCUUCAGUAUUGCACAACAUUACUCCUUAAGUAGCUAUACAAUCUUGAGAGUAGUAAAGUUACAGUUCACUGAC